AUUGAACGCUGGCGGCAUGCCUUACACAUGCAAGUCGAACGGUAACGGGCCUUCGGGUGCCGACGAGUGGCGAACGGGUGAGUAAUGUAUCGGAACGUACCUUUCAGUGGGGGAUAACGUAGCGAAAGUUACGCUAAUACCGCAUAUUCUGUGAGCAGGAAAGCAGGGGAUCGCAAGACCUUGCGCUGAUUGAGCGGCCGAUAUCAGAUUAGCUAGUUGGUGAGGUAAAGGCUCACCAAGGCGACGAUCUGCAGCGGGUUUGAGAGGAUGAUCCGCCACACUGGAACUGAGACACGGUCCAGACUCCUACGGGAGGCAGCAGUGGGGAAUUUUGGACAAUGGGGGCAACCCUGAUCCAGCCAUGCCGCGUGAGUGAAGAAGGCCUUCGGGUUGUAAAGCUCUUUCGGCCGGGAAGAAAUCGUAUCAGCUAAUACCUGGUGCGGAUGACGGUACCGGCAUAAGAAGCACCGGCUAACUACGUGCCAGCCGCCGCAGUAAAAC
rnacentral:rRNA from 1 species